rnacentral:rRNA from 1 species
GUGCCAGCAGCCGCGGUAAUACCGGCAGCACGAGUGAUGACCGCUAUUAUUGGGCCUAAAGCGUCCGUAGCUGGCCAUGCAAGUCCAUCGGGAAAUCCGCGCGCUUAACGCGCGGGCGUCCGGUGGAAACUGCAUGGCUUGGGACCGGAAGACCAGAGGGGUACGUCCGGGGUAGGAGUGAAAUCCCGUAAUCCUGGACGGACCACCGGUGGCGAAAGCGCCUCUGGAAGACGGAUCCGACGGUGAGGGACGAAAGCUCGGGUCACGAAC